rnacentral:rRNA from 1 species
UACGUAGGCAGCAAGCGUUGUUCGGAAUUACUGGGCGUAAAGAGUGUGUAGGCGGUGUUCCAAGUUCGGUGUGAAAUCUCCCGGCUUAACUGGGAGGGUGCGCCGAAAACUGGAAUGCUCGAGCGUGGGAGAGGGAAAGCGGAAUUCCUGGUGUAGCGGUGAAAUGCGUAGAUAUCAGGAGGAACACCAGCGGUGUAGACGGCUUUCUGGACCAUUGCUGACGCUGAGACACGAAAGCGUGGGUAGCAAACAGG